rnacentral:rRNA from 1 species
GACGAACGCUGGCGGCGUGCUUAACACAUGCAAGUCGAACGGAAAGGCCCUGCUUUUGUGGGGUGCUCGAGUGGCGAACGGGUGAGUAACACGUGAGUAACCUGCCCUUGACUUUGGGAUAACUUCAGGAAACUGGGGCUAAUACCGGAUAGGAUCUCCUGCUGCAUGGUGGGGGUUGGAAAGUUUCGGCGGUUGGGGAUGGACUCGCGGCUUAUCAGCUUGUUGGUGGGGUAGUGGCUUACCAAGGCUUUGACGGGUAGCCGGCCUGAGAGGGUGACCGGCCACAUUGGGACUGAGAUACGGCCCAGAAUCCUACGGGAGGCAGCAGUGGGGAAUAUUGCAAAAUGGGCGGAAGCCUGAUGCAGAAACGCCGCGUGCGGGAUGACGGCCUUCGGGUUGUAAACAGCUUUCGCCUGUGACGAAGCGUGAGUGACGGUAAUGGGUAAAGAAGCACCGGCUAACUACGUG